rnacentral:rRNA from 1 species
UACGGAGGGUGCAAGCGUUAUCCGGAAUCACUGGGUUUAAAGGGUGCGUAGGCGGCCCGAUAAGUCAGUCGUGAAAUGCCCCGGCUCAACCGGCGGAACUGCGAUUGAUACUGUCAGGCUUGAAUCAGGUUGAGGCAGGCGGAAUGUGACAUGUAGCGGUGAAAUGCUUAGAUAUGUCAUAGAACACCGAUUGCGAAGGCAGCUUGCUGGGCCUUGAUUGACGCUGAGGCACGAAAGCGUGGGGAGCAAACAGG